CUCAACCGUGGAGGGUCAUUGGAAACUGGGGAACUUGAGUGCAGAAGAGGAGAGUGGAAUUCCACGUGUAGCGGUGAAAUGCGUAGAGAUGUGGAGGAACACCAGUGGCGAAGGCGACUCUCUGGUCCGUAACUGACGCUGAGGCGCGAAAGCGUGGGGAGCGAACAGGAUUAGAUACCCUGGUAGUCCACGCCGUAAACGAUGAGUGCUAAGUGUUAGAGGGUUUCCGCCCUUUAGUGCUGCAGCAAACGCAUUAAGCACUCCGCCUGGGGAGUACGGUCGCAAGACUGAAACUCAAAGGAAUUGACGGGGGCCCGCACAAGCGGUGGAGCAUGUGGUUUAAUUCGAAGCAACGCGAAGAACCUUACCAGGUCUUGACAUCCUUCGCUACUUCUAGAGAUAGAAGGUUCCCCUUCGGGGGACGA
rnacentral:rRNA from 1 species